rnacentral:lncRNA from 1 species
GACUCAGGUAUUUGGGAAAUGCUAGAAGAGCCAGUUGAUUGGAUCCCUUAACAGAACUCAGAUCCCGGCUUACAGGUGCGUGCUCCCUCAGAGGCGCUUCUUAGUCCCUGGUUCAGCGGACAGGUGGCGAGGGAAGGCGGGCUGAUUGGUUAAGGGCCACACCUGACAGGUGAGGCGGAGCCAUCCUGCCUGUGUGCUGUCACCAGGUCGCUGGAUUUAUUUCUGGUUCUUCUGCUUCCUGUGUGUCCUUCACCUUUUUUUUUUUUUUUUAACCACUCUGAGCCUCAGUUUUCUCCUGUGUAAAACAGAGGUAAUAAUCCUCGCCAUCCUGUAGGGCCGUGCAGGUCCCCUGGCCCGUCCUGAGUUAUGGGAGCUUAUUCACGUGGCAUUUUGGAACGCCAGGUAUCAAAAGUAAGAUCAUUGAAGGCAGUAAAACGGAGAUCAUCAGCCAAGAAAGACCUGCUGGAGAAAGCAGAGUAAGUAUGUUGUGUCAUGUUGUUAAGAAUUAAUUGGGUUUGUUGUUGAGUGAGAGAGAGGAGAGGAGAGGAGGGGAGAAAGAGAGUGAACAUUGGGGGAAGUGUAGAGGGAGAGGGACAAGCAGACUAUCCUGAGCACGGAGCCCAACACAGGGCAACAGGGCUCAAUUCCACGAACCUGAGAUCAUGACGUGAGCGAAAUCAAGAGUCGGAUGCUUAACCAAGGUGCCACCCAGGUGCCCCACCGAGUUUUAAAUAGGAAACCAGAGAC